ensembl:lncRNA
UGUAACAUCUUAGUUACACAGUGAACCGGUUACUAUGUAACAUCUUAGUUACACAGUGAACCGGCUACUAUGUAACAUGUUAGUUACACGGUGAACAGGUUACUAUGUAACAUGUUAGUUACACGGUGAACAGGCUACUAUGUAACAUGUUAGUUACACGGUGAACAGGCUACUAUGUAACAUCUUAGUUACACGGUGAACAGGCUACUAUGUAACAUCUUAGUUACACAGUGAACAGGCUACUAUGUAACAUCUUAGUUACACAGUGAACA